rnacentral:rRNA from 1 species
UACGUAGGCAGCAAGCGUUGUUCGGAGUUACUGGGCGUAAAGAGUGCGUAGGUGGUGCCCUAAGUCUGUUGUGAAAUCUCCCGGCUUAACUGGGAGGGUGCGGUGGAAACUGGGGUGCUUGAGUGUGGGAGAGGUAAGCGGAAUUCCUGGUGUAGCGGUGAAAUGCGUAGAUAUCAGGAGGAACACCGGUGGUGUAGACGGCUUACUGGACCACGACUGACACUGAGGCACGAAGGCGUGGGUAGCAAACAGG